AUUGAACGCUGGCGGCAGGCCUAACACAUGCAAGUCGAACGAGUGGCGGACGGGUUGGUAAUGUCUGGGAAACUGCCUGGUGGAGGGGGAUCACUACUGGGAACGGUAGCUACUACCGCAUACCAUCGGAUGUGCCCAGAUGGGAUUAGCUAGUGGGUGGGGUAAAGGCCCACCUAGGCGACGAUCCCUAGCUGGUCUGAGAGGAUGCACAGUCACACUGGAACUGAGACACGGUCCAGACUCCUACGGGAGGCAGCAGUGGGGAAUAUUGCACAAUGGGCGAAAGCCUGAUGCAGCCAUGCCGCGUGUAUGAAGAAGGUCUUCGGGUUGUAAAGUACUUUCAGUGGGGAGGCGUUACCCGCAGAAUAAGCACCGGCUAACUCCGUGCCAGCAGCCGCGGUAAUAC
rnacentral:rRNA from 1 species